rnacentral:rRNA from 1 species
GACGAACGCUGGCGGCGUGCUUAACACAUGCAAGUCGAACGGAAAGGCCUCUUUCGGGGGGUACUCGAGUGGCGAACGGGUGAGUAACACGUGAGUAACCUGCCCUUGACUUUGGGAUAACUUCAGGAAACCGGGGCUAAUACCGGAUAGGAGCUCCUGCUGCAUGGUGGGGGUUGGAAAGUUUCGGCGGUUGGGGAUGGACUCGCGGCUUAUCAGCUUGUUGGUGGGGUAGUGGCUUACCAAGGCUUUGACGGGUAGCCGGCCUGAGAGGGUGACCGGCCACAUUGGGACUGAGAUACGGCCCAGACUCCUACGGGAGGCAGCAGUGGGGAAUAUUGCACAAUGGGUGGAAGCCCGAUGCAGCAACGCCGUGUGCGGGAUGACGGCCUUCGGGUUGUAAACCGCUUUCGCUCAUGACGAAGCUUUGUGUGACGGUAGUGGGUAAAGAAGCACCGGCUAACUACGUG